CAGCCGGUCACCCUGUCCAGAGCAGCUCAUGAUCUCGCGGAGGCCAGCACCUGGCACGGCACGCCUUCGUACAGCCAGCUGGUCACCCUGUCCAGGGCAGCUCCUGAUCUCGUGGAGGCCAGCACGUCGUAUGGCACGCCUUCGGACAGCUAGCCGGUCACCCUGUCCAGGGCACCUCACGAUCUCGCUGAGGCCAGCACGUCGCACGGCACGCC